rnacentral:rRNA from 1 species
GUGCCUAAUACAUGCAAGUAGAACGCUGACUACUUUAGCUUGCUAGAGUAGAAGGAGUUGCGAACGGGUGAGUAACGCGUAGGUAACCUGCCUACUAGCGGGGGAUAACUAUUGGAAACGAUAGCUAAUACCGCAUAACAGUGUUUAACACAUGUUAGAUGCUUGAAAGAUGCAAAUGCAUCACUAGUAGAUGGACCUGCGUUGUAUUAGCUAGUUGGUGGGGUAACGGCCUACCAAGGCGACGAUACAUAGCCGACCUGAGAGGGUGAUCGGCCACACUGGGACUGAGACACGGCCCAGACUCCUACGGGAGGCAGCAGUAGGGAAUCUUCGGCAAUGGGGGCAACCCUGACCGAGCAACGCCGCGUGAGUGAAGAAGGUUUUCGGAUCGUAAAGCUCUGUUGUAAGAGAAGAACGUGUGUGAGAGUGGAAAGUUCACACAGUGACGGUAACUUACCAGAAAGGGACGGCUAACUACGUGCCAGCAGCCGCGGUAAUACGUAGGUCCCGAGCGUUGUCCGGAUUUAUUGGGCGUAAAGCGAGCGCAGGCGGUUUAAUAAGUCUGAAGUUA